rnacentral:tRNA from 1 species
GGAUUGUGGCUUAGUGGUGGAGCGCUCGCCUAGUAUGUGCAAGGCCCUGCGUUCGAUCCUCAGCACCA